AAUUUUAUAAUCUUCAGUACUUAAUAUAAUGAUCACAUUUUAAAAAAUUAGAACAAAAUUGAGACUUAAAUAAUCGAUAGCUUUAUAAGAGUGGUUCAUUUAAUUAGUUAAUUGGUUCAUUAAAAUACUUAUCAAAAUUACUUUUUUUCCAAAAAUUUUAUGCUUUGAAGGUUAUUAUUUGAACCAUUCACACAAAUCUGAGCAAAUACUGCUUAAAUGCAUGUACAUCAUGGUGUGGUGUUUUCUGAAGAGGUGUGGAAUCUUUCGUGAGAUAGCAUGUACAGAUCAAAAGAUAUUG
rnacentral:lncRNA from 1 species